UAUGCCUUUGUCAACAAGUAUCUGGAGAAGGCCAGGAGCAUCCUCCUCCAGUGCUGUUUCAAUUGAAUUCGUGGCAGUUUUCUUCCAUUUGCGUCUCCGUUUAAUGUUCAUUAAACUAGCAGGUUCUGAAACAAGAAUGCUGCAUCCAGGGUCAGAAGGUUUUGGAUGCUCAGAAUCCAUAGAUGUAAAAUCAAAAACCUUCCGAGAAGAGAAAAACUUCAUUCGGUCUUGCAAUCGCAUAUUGUCUAACUUAUUUUCAUAAUGUUCAUCGGGAAUGGUUG
rnacentral:misc_RNA from 1 species